rnacentral:rRNA from 1 species
AGAGUUUGAUCAUGGCUCAGGACGAACGCUGGCGGCGUGCUUAACACAUGCAAGUCGAACGAUGACGGUGGUGCUUGCACCGCCUGAUUAGUGGCGAACGGGUGAGUAACACGUGAGUAACCUGCCCCCCACUUCGGGAUAACCUCGGGAAAUCGUGGCUAAUACCGGAUACGAGCACUCAUCGCAUGGUGGGUGUUGGAAAGAUUUAUCGGUGGGGGAUGGACUCGCGGCCUAUCAGUUUGUUGGUGAGGUGAUGGCUCACCAAGACGAUGACGGGUAGCCGGCCUGAGAGGGCGACCGGCCACACUGGGACUGAGACACGGCCCAGACUCCUACGGGAGGCAGCAGUGGGGAAUAUUGCACAAUGGGCGAAAGCCUGAUGCAGCGACGCCGCGUGGGGGAUGACGGCCUUCGGGUUGUAAACCCCUUUCAGUAGGGAAGAAGCGAAAGUGACGGUACCUGCAGAAGAAGCGCCGGCUAACUACGUGCCAGCAGCCGCGGUAAUACGUAGGGCGCAAGCGUUGUCCGGAAUUAUUGGGCGUAAAGAGCUUGUAGGUGGCUUGUCGCGUCUGCCGUGAAAACCCGAGGCUCAACCUCGGGCGUGCGGUGGGUACGGGCAGGCUAGAGUGUGGUAGGGGAGACUGGAACUCCUGGUGUAGCGGUGAAAUGCGCAGAUAUCAGGAAGAACACCGAUGGCGAAGGCAGGUCUCUGGGCCAUUACUGACACUGAGAAGCGAAAGCAUGGGUAGCGAACAGGAUUAGAUACCCUGGUAGUCCAUGCCGUAAACGUUGGGCACUAGGUGUGGGGGACAUUCCACGUUUUCCGCGCCGUAGCUAACGCAUUAAGUGCCCCGCCUGGGGAGUACGGCCGCAAGGCUAAAACUCAAAGGAAUUGACGG